UGAGAGUUUAUAGCAACUUUAUUUAUAAUGGCCUAAAAAUGGAAACAUCUCACAUGUCUAUCCAUUAAUGAAUGGAUAAACAAACUGGUAUAGCCAUACAAUGAAGUACAAAAAUAAAAAGGAAUGAAUAUUAAUUUACCUAAAAACAAUGUAGAUGAUACUUAAAUUCAUUUUACUAAGUGAAAGAAGCCAGAUCAAAAAGGUCUACAUAUUGCAUGAUUCCAUCCAUAUGACUUUCUGUAAAAGGCAAAAACCAUAGGGAUAGAUGACAAACAAGUAGUUUCCAGGGACUGAAGAUGGGGAAAGGGAUUUACAACAAAAAGUGCAAUCAAGAGAAAUUACUAGAGAUGAAACAGUUCUGUAUGGUACUAGAAUGGAAGAACACAUGACUCUAUACUUGUCAAACUAUAGAACUAUACACUGUAAGAGUGAAUUUUAGUGUAUGUAAAUUAGAAACAAUCUCUAAAACAAAUGGAAAUUUACCUAUCAAAUGAUCAGAGAUUUAUUAAAGGAAAGAGCAUGUUUUGAUGAAUGUGUGGAGAAAUAGCACAUUCAUGCACCACUGAUGGGAAUGUAAUUUGUGUGACUAUAUUCAGUAUAAUUUAACAGUACCUUUCAGGUGCCCUAAUAAUGCUCUCAUAAUUCAAACUCAGUAAUUCCAAUUCUAGGAAUUAAUUCUAAAGAAAUAGAGAUGCAUAUAAAGGUGAAUAUACAAUAUGUUCAUCAGAAUUUUAUAAACAAAAUUGGUAACAUCCAAAAUAUCUGCAUCAUGAGACGAUCUAAAUAAAUUUUGUUAGAUCCAUAUGAAAUGUGACACAAUAUUGUAUUUUUAAAUAAUGUUAAUGACAUGGAAGAAUGCUUAUUUUUAAAUGAGAAAAGUCAGAAAAUACAAUGUCAAUUUUAUUUUUAAACUGUGUUAUAUACACUUUUUUUAGAGUAAAAGGAAGCACAUUACUCUUUUAUACUUUUCACUUUAUUUUUAAAGAAUGAUCAUCUCUUACUUUUGUCAUCAAAAAGAAAACUUUUUUAUUUUGAAAAAACAAACAAGCCCAGCCCAGUGCAGCCAAUCCCAUGAUCUUUUCAGUUGCUAUCUUAACUCAGAAGGCUAUACUAUUGUCCCCCUGGAUGCUUGUUUUUUUCUUGCUCCUCCAGGUACUGGACUCAUUGCAGGUGAAUACCUGCCAAAGUGAGAGAAUGGCAGCAUCUCUCUUCGAACAGGAAACCACUUAAACUGGCCUAGUCAGCCACAGGCUGAUACUGGUAUCAAUCUCUAUGACCCAUGCAGGCAACAGAUGUCUUUAAAAGUUAUAAUGCCCAUCUUAUAUAAUUGGAAGUUUCUCCUCAAAUCUUUCUUCUUUCUAUGAAAUACAAUCUUUUAAAACCCUUCUCCAAAGCAGCUCUUCCUUUUAAUUUAAGAUAUUGCAUCACAAAUACUAGGUCCAAGGAUUGACCUUUUCCUUGAACUGUUUCCUUAUGCCAUAUCUGGUGUUUGGGGUUGCCUGAAGUCAUUCUGCCCACUGUCUCUGGCCCAAUCAUCCUAUUAAAAAGAAAAAAAAAAAAACAACCUGAGCUAUUUGGUACUACUUGAGCUAUUUCCUCUAUCCUCGACUCCUUUAACACCCUGUCACUGAACCAGAGUUCUUCAAUGUUGCAAAUGUUUUUCUGGGUUGUUUCUUUACGUGGGUCAACAGAAAUUUCCAUAAAGGCAGAUCUACCUGAGAAGAGUGGCUGGCAGUAACUCUCACGGGUAGGAAUAGAAAUAGUGCAGCACAACAACUUAUCUUCAAUCUACCUUUAAAAAUUACAGGUUUAUGAAGCAAGUCUCAGUGCUUCCUUCACUGAAGUAAUGGAUCUUAUGAUUUCUGUCAUUUUUUUCCUCCCCCUCACUCCAUUUUUAAUUGCAAUAAGGAGUUCACUCCUAUCUUCACUCACAAACAUCAGACCUCUCCAGGUUUGCUUCCUUCAAUCAUAUAGGCUUCUAGGUCCAAUACCCACUAAAACGUCAAGCAUUUGUUACUCCAAUAUUUCAUAGCUUCCUUCCCUUGCUCUCUGCCCUCCAUUCUUCUCAUAUCCAGAGAAACACGGUGUUACUCCUAGCACCCACCGAAGCUUCAUUCACAAUAAGGCUCCUCCCAGUUAGAGCCUGUAAUAGACUGAUGGCCUGGAGGAAAGAAAAAGAAAACACACCUGCUGAAACCCAUGGGGGGCGGUGCAGGAAAUGAAAAGUGGCUAGAGAGAGCAAGGAGUACACUAGAAGGAUUCUGAAAAAAAGAAGAGGCUAGACAUAGGACAAGGCACCAGAAGGUGUGACUGGGCUGUCCUGAGGAAUCAUGGGAAUGUAUUUGAAAGGUACUAACUUUUCACUUCCCUCGUGCCCUCUCUUGCCCAUCUCCAAGAGACAAAGAGUAACCAGGACUCCUGACACUGUUUACUAUUUAACCAUAAGAUUUGUGUCCUUAUAUACCAUAUUCCUAAGACAAAUCCUAAUCUCUGAUGACCAGGUUAGAAAGGGAUACAAGUCCUCCUACUGGCAUUUCAUAAUCAGCUGAGAUAUUAGGAAUAAAUCCUGGGGCUGGGGCCUGGUUGUUGGCCGUGGCUACAGCUGCUCCAGCGACUGUCAGGAGAUAAGGUAGGAGUUGGCAUCAGGCUGAUUAACAUGAGUAUUCCCCAACUGCAGAGGUAGUUAAUGACAAUUCAACCCAUUCAUGCCUCCCUGAGUCUUAAGAGAUGGAAAAGGAAGUGCUAAUGAAAAAGUGACACACAGUGGCAUACAGGGACCAGAGAAAUGCCAGUGGAAGGAGAAAGUCAUGGCUUUUGUUUGCUUUAAUCAGUGAUGGGACUGAAGGAAAAAGAAUUUGAAUGCAAAAAAAAGGAAAGAGGUUAUUUUCAAGUCAAUUAACUGCCUUCCUUCCAUAAAGUUGGGAUCUUAUGUUGAAACUCAAACUCAUCUCUGGUGGCCUAUAUUCCAGCACUGGGGAUCCAGCAAGUUCUGACUACAUGGGGUACUCUUUAUGGGAAGUGAUAGUUCAUAUAUACACAUACAAUACAACUUCUAAAAAGAGAAAGUUGCUGAGAGGGCUAAGCAUGCAAUUCAAAAGAGCAACCUGUGGUCUGGAGAGUAUUCAAGAGAGUGAUCCCUCUGUUGAGUAAUGCUUUGAAAAGCUGAGAUGAAGGAGGCUGUAGUCAUCCUCUGAUUUUUUCCUUUUCUUCUCUCCUUCAUGAAGUCUUCUACCAGCAACUCCUAAGGAACAAAUAUAGAGCAGCCCCACAAGAGGGAAUGGGCUAUCUGAGAGCCUGGUCUAUAGGCUCUAUAGCUUUUAGGAAUAUUGACUCAUUUAAAGACUACUGCAAAAGAAAAAUGGCUGCAAGCAAUAUCAGAGGGUUUACAGAGACUCUCUUCCUAAACUUCCAAGUCCUAACAGCCAUCUCUUUGCAUCAAUCCAGCCUUCCUUCCCAAAAGCACAGGGAACACCUAUAAUAUGGCAACCAAACUGGAAGUAUCCUGACCCUAAAUGGCUUUUACAAAGUGGUUUUGUUAUUCACCCAUUGAUGUGCACUAUCUUUUGCCUACUCUUUAUCUUGAAAACUCAUUUAGAUAAUAUGACUGUGUCUUGCUCCGAUUAAUCAGUGUGUAUUUUUAAAGUACUGUGCCUGUUUUUCCCAAAGGGCAGUAUUAGUUCACUUCUCAACUUAGAGACUCAGAAGCCAAAGCACAUUAUGAAACAGAGCCAACAAAAGCUUGUAUCACAUAAUGAAGUUACAUCAAGGUCAAGGAAAAAUUUCAAUCCUAAAGAAAUCUCUUUAUGAUACUUCCAGACGACCAGCCUGUUGCUCUUCCAGAGUUAGUAGAUGGCUAGAGGAUUCUACCAGUGCUGAGGGUCAGCAGCCUAGCUAUCCUUGCCUGGGAUUGUGGCUCAUUUUCGCACAAAAAAUGUGACCCCAAAGGGAUAAACAGAUGGCACACAGCAAGGUGUUUGGCAUAGAACAAGCACUUGAUAUAGGAGAGGAUCAUUUUAGUUGUGCAUUCUGCCAGCCAAAACUUCAGUAUAAUGUGCGAAGCACAGUUUCUGUAUCUUCUAAUAAUCCUCACCACUCUUUGAGACUUGUACUACUAUCCCACUACAUCCUCUCUUCUCUUGCAUCUGCAGAGUUGUCAUGUGCCAAUCUCCAGAUAGUUACUCAGUUACUAAAGCCUAUUUUAUCUAGCUCACAGUCUCAUUCCUAGCCCAGCUUUUACUAUAAUCCCAGGUCACUUCAAUAUCCAGGCAAAUGACCAUCUGACAUCCUAGUAUCACAAGUAUCUUGCUCUAGUUUUUAAAUUUUAACAUUCCAAAGUUCACUUUCUGAUACUGGUCCUAUCAUUCCAGUUUUCUAACUACUCAACAUCCAUCUUGAACACACUAAGGCCUCUUUUUCUGUACAGACUUUGAACUCACUUCUGAACUAACUUCCUUCCAUAUACACUCUGGAUCCUUAAUUCCAUUUCUGUGUAACACCUCUCUUCCUAGCUGUCCAUCCCUCAAUCGAGGUCAGUUCCAGGCAACCGAAUGUUAGUUGUGACAGUGGCCCAAGACCACUUUAUAUUUUCCUCUCUAAUCAACUUUCAAACUAGCUGCCCACUUCCAUAUGCCGUAAGUGCUCUGCUCCAGCCUUUUGGCCUGGAUAUUCCUUAGACUCUUUUGUCCACAGUCUGAUCCCUGGUCAGCUGCCUAUCCACCAUCCACCUCUACAAUUACAAAUCUGCAACACCUUUAUCAGGUACUCUUCCCAACUCCUAUUCUUAUCAUCACUAUACCUCAGUGAAGAGGUAACUCCUUUCAUCUAAGGAUAGGCCUCCACCUGUAUUCUAAGAGCGAUAGGUUAUCAUUUCUCUUCCACACGUACAAAGACAUGCCUUAUAGUCUGCAAGCAUGCUCAACUUUCUCUCAUUUUAAAAGGGAGCUUACAUGACUCACUGUAGGGCCCUGAAUGGAAUGGUUUAACUUGUAUUCUAGUUGUCACAUUUUCUAACAGAAAGAAGGCUUCUCAUGAAGCACUAAUGAUUAAUCACACUAAAUAAGAAAAAGGAAAUAUGAGCCUGUUGGGUGGUGAACAUAAACUGGAAGCCUACCUGUUAAUGUAGGUAAGGGGAUAGCUGAGGUAAAGUUGGAAGGGGAAAACUGUGAAUACCAGCCACAGGAACAAACCCCAGACUGUGAAGAUGAGGUUUCUGAUGAAUGAUCACUCUGGUCCUACGCAAGGAGCAACUGGCAGCAAUUGUAGUUGUAGUAACAGCAGCAGCGGCAGCAGCAAUGCAACAUCUACAAGUAGCCAAGACUAAAAUACAGGCACAGAAACAGAGUAUUUCACAGAAAACACAAUAUUAAAUAUGACACAUAUGUGGCACUUGUGCUGCUACUCCCCUUCUCCCACUCUCAGCAAACAUCACUAGUUAUAAUCCUCUUUCACACUGAUCUGAGACCUGGCUUCAGAAUCCUUUUCAUAAAACAUCAUCAAGACAGGUACUAUUAAUUGAUUGGAGAUGGUACUUCAGAUGAAGUAUAUCUGCUAUCUUUGCACUGCACAGAAAAGUCCUUGGCAAAAGAAGAUAGGAGUAAGCUUCAGGAGAAAGCAUACUGAAGACAGCUUGGAUGUUGUAGGCAACUGGAGGGGACAAGCCGAGCUCAUGGAGAUCACAGAGCAGGCGCCCAAUUAAUGUCUGUUGAUGAUUCAUUUUUUCAUUCAACAAACAUUUAAUGAGGCCUACAAUGUGCACCGGAUUUAGGCACUGCGAAUACAAAGAUGAAUAAUGCACUGUCCUUGCCCGUAACGAAUUUAGUCUGGUAGACGAGAGCCAUAGACACGGACAAUGAUAAUACAACCUGAUAAGUGCUAGGACACUUAGCAGGUUGUAUUAUAUCCAUCCGAGUAGGAUUUCUUCAGGUUGCUGUUGGAUCCAUGAAGUCCUCCCAGCCACAAGGGCAUGCUGUUGUUUCUGUCACGCGGUGGACGUCCCAAGAACUAACAAUGAUAGCUGUAAUUUAUAGUGUGCAUAUGACAUACACUUUACAAUAUCCUUAUGAAAACCCUGAAAAUUAAUUAUUGUAUUAGAGAAGAAACUGAGGUUCAAUGAGGUUAAGUAACAUGCCUUAGAUCACACAGCUAGUAAGUAGUUGAGUCAGGUUUCAAAUUCAGUUUUGACCAAUUCCAAAACAUUUUUCUACAUUUUUAAGAAUAAUUUCAAUUCAGUUCAGAUAUUACACAACUUUUCAAAAGCUUUCUAUUUGGAAAUAAGAGCAAAGGCAAUAAAUUAGUGAUCAGGGCAUGAACAAAAGCCAUCUGAUUAGCCAACCUAUUUGGCAGAGCAAACAAAAAAAGCGGCAGAGAAAUGACUUCACACCAUCAUGGCAUUGAAAACCUUAAGGUCAGAUUAGUUUUUCUUUCUUUUGCAAACCCAAACAUCCUCACUGAUGAUAUAAAAUAUAAGUAUCUCUAGUUAAAUAUCUUUUAAUCCUUGUCAAGAUCAACAUCAUUAUCAGCAGCAACUACAGUUCAUAUAGCACUUAGUAAAUUCCAAGCAAUUUACACAAAUAAUCCCAUUAAAUUUUUACAUUCUCACCCCCCUCAUCACUGCAAAAAGAUAUUAAUUCUGUUGUACAUAAAAAAAAAUAAAGUACUAGAGAGGUGGAAAACCAUUCUCAAAACCACAUUGUUAAGUGUGAGACUAGAUUUGAGUCCAAGAUACCUAGUCUCAAUGCCCAAACUGUCAUUGUACUGCUUUGCUGUCCUGCUCAGGGUUUCUCCUCCCAACCCUUCUUUCCCCUACUGUUCUCCAGAAUAGCUAGUUACAUAAUAUCCACUGAAAAUACACAAGGUCUACUUAAAUAUAAUCUCCUAUUUAUCACUCUACUUACAGAAAGCCAUUCUCUGAAUCCCCAAGGUCACUACUCUGAGCCUUAAGGGGAGUUUCCCAAAUACUGUGUUUUUAUUGAGAAAAGAGAAAAUAAACACUUAAUAUGUUUAGAUUUUUACUUACUGAAUGUAUUUUUUUACCAAGUGAUUAAACCAUAAGCAUUUAAAAAUCUUUAAGCAAAAUAAAGCAAUAGAGACAAUAACAACUAAGGCAAUCUCUUCCCUGAGUGGGUUUUAGAUACAAGUUUCCACUUUUGUUAAAAAAUAUUGUGGGAGAUAUGUGACAGUGAGGGUGUGAGAAUAGUUCUGCUACUGAUGAGAAGGACCAGGAACUUAGUAAUCGAUGAGAAGUUUGUGGCUGUUCGGAUGUCUUCCUGAGUGUCAACAAUUCAUAUAUGCCUGCCCCCAACCCCCAUCCCCAAGAAACUUACGAAACUGUGCAGCCAAGCCCUGGUCUAGAAGGAACCAAUAACAAUACCCAUCUAAAGAACAUGAGAGGAUUUUUCAUGAAGGCCAAGGGCGGGGUUAGGGGGAUGCACACUUGCCAACGUCUGAAAUUGUUAAUUUUCCCAUGUUCUAAUUAUGUCAGUGUUUUGCUUUUUUUUCUUUUUAGGGCCGCACCUGCGGCAUAUGGAAGUUCCCAGGCUAGGGGUUGAAUCGGAGCUGCAGCUGCCAGCCUCCGCACAGUCACAGCAACUUGGGAUCCAAGCUGCAUCUGCCACCUACACCACAGCUCACAGCAACGCCCGAUCCUUAACCUGCUGACCAAGACCAAGGAUCGAACCCACAUUAUCAUGGAUACUAGUCAGGAUCAUUACUGCUGACGCCACAACGGGAACUUCUAUAUCCAUGUUUUGUAUAACCCCUUAUUUAAAAGGUUAUUCCUUCUUCAUUCCCACUUAUUCUGGCUAAGAUGAUCAUUUAUCAUCUAACUGAUCUCCCUAUCCAAAUUUGAAAAUUUUCCAUAACUUACUCCAUACUACUGUCAGAGUGACCAUCAAAAGCAUCCCCUUUUUAAAACACUCAAAAUGAAAUCCAAAUUUCACAGCAUACUAUAUAAGGAUUUAUUCUCAGCCCACAUUUCCAACCUAAUGUCAUAAACUACUUGUAGUCCCUCAAUUUAUCAUUCCAUUUCUAAUGUUCAUAUCUUUGCUUAGAAGGUACUUCCUCUGUUUUCUGCCUAUUUGACCUUUACUUUUUAAAAUAAUCAACUUAAGCAUCAGUUCCUCCAACCUCUGCAUCUCCAGAUUCAGUCAAAUGAUUUCUCUUCUGAACCCCAGAGUAUCUUGUACAUACCUCCAUUGUAGAGCAUACCAUACUGUAAUUAUCUGUGUACAAGUCGAACUCUCUCACUAGACUGAGAACUCCUUGAGGGCAGAAACUGUGUCUAAUUCAUCUCCAUAUCCCCAUCACCCAGCACAGUGCCUGGCAGCUCAAAAGGCAGCAGAGAAGCUGAAGAUGCAAGAGAGAGCACAAUAAAGCAAUAUUCUUGAAUUGGGGUAUAAUACAGAUAUGAUGAAUGAAUUGAAGUUGUAGGAAAAUAUAUUUCAAGCUCAUUAUGCAAGGAGCUCUUGAAAGAAGAGACAAGCUAUCUCAGGAAGGAGUUCCCCAUCACUACAUGCAAUUACUCAGUGGCUAAAAGACCAUCUGUUGGGUAUAUUAUGAAAGGAGUUGAAUUAGGGUCAAAUUAAAAUAAGCUGUUUCGGAUGUGAGAUUUUUAAGGUCUUUCUAUCCUUGAGGUUCUAAAUGUACAAUCUAGGCUAUAAUCAAGAGAGCUAUUUCUCUGAGCCCAUGUCACAGACAGGGGUUGUGGACAAGUGCUGAGACCGCAUCUUAUUCCCAUCCAAAGUAGACCAAUUGUGGGAUGGACUGGGAGUUUGCAGUUAGUAGAUGCAAACUAUUACAUUUAGAAUGGAUAAACAAUAAGGUCCUACUGUAUAGCACAGGGAACUAUAUCCAAUCUCCUGGAAUAGACCAUGAUGGAAAAUAACAUAAAAAAAGAAUGUAAAUAUGUAUGACUGAGUCACUUUGCUGUACAGCAGAAAUUGGCGCAACACUGUAAAUCAACUAUACUUAAAGAAAAAAAAACACACAAAAAAAUAAAAAACAAAGUAGACCAAUUAUACAACAUAACUCAUUUUCCAGUGGCCUGCUUCCCAGGUGACCCUUGAACCUGGAGCAGGAAAUACUUUAAGUACUUCAAAGGCCACCAGGUAGAACCUCACAAUCCAAAAUAUCUUCCACAGGAGUUCCCGUUGUGGCUCAGCACUAAUGAACCUGACUAGUAUUUAUAAGAAUGCAGGUUCGACUCCUGGCCUUGCUCAGUGGGUUAAGGAUCUGGCAUUUCUGUGAGCUGUGGUGUAGGUCGAAGAUGCGGCUUGGAUCUGAUGUGGCUGUGGCAUAAGCCAGCAGCUAUAGCUCUGAUCUGACCCCUAGCCUGGCAACUUCCAUAUGCUGUGGGUGUGGCCCUAAAAAGACAAAAAAAAAAAAAAAA
rnacentral:lncRNA from 1 species